rnacentral:rRNA from 1 species
AUUGAACGCUGGCGGCAGGCUUAACACAUGCAAGUCGGACGAGCGGCGGACGGGUGAGUAAUAUCUGGGAACCUACCUGGUAAAGGGGGAUAACCACUCGAAACGUUGGCUAAUACCGCAUAUCAUACGAUUGGCCAAGAUGGGAUUAGCUAGUUGGUGGGGUAAUGGCUCACCUAGGCGACGAUCCGUAGCUGGUCUGAGAGGAUGACCCGCCACACUGGAACUGAGAAACGGUCCAGACGCCUACGGGAGGCAGCAGAGGGGAAUAUUGCACAAUGGGCGCAAGCCUGAUGCAGACAUGCCGCGUGUGUGAAGAAGGCCUUCGGGUUGUAAAGUACGUUCAGCGAGGAGGCGUUACUCGGAGAAGAAGCACCGGCUAACUACGUGCCAGCAGCCGCGGUAAUAC